GGGACAAUGACCAACUCUUCAUCAACUGCUUUCAACCUGUAACCUACAACUCUUUGCUAAUGAGAUUGUAAUUCAUUUAGAUCUGUACGAAACAAUCUUUCCCUUGGCUUGAUGAUUUUGGAUGACUUACCAACAUUUUGGAAUAAGGCACAAGCUAUGACAAGCAAGAACACUGCAGGAGGCAUUGUACAAAUGAAAAACGAUUGUUUCUUCCCCACCAGCCUCCAGGGGGGAAUAUAAGAACUGUCAGACUGUCAGAGACAGUGGCUCCUCGCUGAUUUACUUAGGCUCACAGUCGACACGCUCACACCUUCGCAACUCACCUCUCCCAAUGUGGACCCUGCAAUCUACCACUUGCAGCAAGAUACUCAACUUACCUCAUGAUAGAUGUGGCGCUGUUCCUGAUCUGAUAUACGCAAGAUUAAUGAAGACUUCAAUGAACAGAAGAAGGUUGUGAAAUUGAAGCCAAGAGAACAAUGCAAACAACGUGUUUAGCAAUAAUUUCUUUGCAGAGAAAUUCCCUGGAACAUUUUUAUUUCCUUGUACCAUGUCCAAGUAUUAACACUUCAUUCUUUUUUUCAUACUAGGGUCAGAUAUGGGUAAUAGAUUAAAUAAGCA